UUCCCCCAGUAACGGCGAGCGAAGUGGGAAUAGCUCGAGCCUGAAAUCCCCGGCAUUCCAUGCCGGAGAAUUGUGGCCGGGAGAGGCAGCUGUGCCCGGACUGGUGCUGUCCAAGUUGACCUGGAAAGGCGCGCCAGAGAGGGUGAGAGCCCCGUGCGUGACACCGCCGGUCUGGGACGCUACUGUCUUCGGAGAGUCGGGUUGUUUGGGAUUGCAGCCCAAAGUGGGUGGUAAACUCCAUCUAAAGCUAAAUACUGGCACGAGACCGAUAGCGAACAAGUACCGUGAGGGAAAGGUGAAAAGUACUUUGAAAAGAGAGUCAAAAAGACCGCGAAACCGUUAGGAGGGAAACGAAUGCAGCUGAAGUGGUUCUCUGUCAGGCUCAGGAGAUGUCGGUGAGUCCUGCUCGGUAUCAGGAGCUGAUGAGGCCCUGGUGCCCUGCUGGGGCUUCCGUCUACUCUGCAAUUCUGCGGGGAGCCGGCCAACGGCAGUUGCUCCCGGCUCAGGAGGGCGUGUGGGGAGGUAGCUCUGUGCCUGCACAGAGAACGUAUAGCCCCGCGUCCUGGCAGUCUGGGAUCGACUGAGGAGAGUUGCGAAUCUUCGCACUGGCAGCGCAGGCCCCCAGGGGCUGGGUCGCUCUUGUCGGAGGGGAGGCCGCGGCGGUUCACUGCAUGCAGUGGCCGACGACGGUCUGCCUCCCCGGUGGGAGACCGAUCACACCUUGCGCUGUGGUUGUUGGUGUCCGAAUGGCUGCAUCCGACCCGUCUUGAAACACGGACCAAGGAGUGCAACAUGCGUGCGAGUCUUGGGGUGGCAAACCCAUUGGCGCAAUGAAAGUGAAGGCAGACGUCUUGGUCUGCUGAGGCGAGAGCCUCCCUUGCGGGGGCCCAUCGUCGACCGAUCCCAGGCUACGCCGUGGCGGGAUUUGAGUGAGAGCGUGCCUGUUGCGACCCGAAAGAUGGUGAACUAUGCCUGAAUAGGGCGAAGCCAGAGGAAACUCUGGUGGAAGCUCGCAGCGAUUCUGACGUGCAAAUCGAUCGUCAAAUUUGGGUAUAGGGGCG
rnacentral:rRNA from 1 species